UCGACCUUAGCUCAGUUGGUAGGGCGGAGGACUGUAGUUGGCUGAAACCUUCAGUUAAAUCCUUAGGUCACUGGUUCGAAUCCGGUAGGUCGGA
rfam:Gossypium hirsutum cultivar TM-1 chromosome 4, whole genome shotgun sequence